CAUUUGUAAGCGAGAUACCGCUACUUGGGUAUUUGGUCGUUUAAAGAGGCUUCGAAGGUCUCUAGUCUUGAAAAAGGCUACAUCGUCAAAUUGCUGGAACACCCUCCACAACUCUGUGCACCAAGUCGUCUUGUAAUAAAGGCGAUGGCCAGGUAAAAUAAUACUGGGUAAGGUAAUAGCCACACGAGAAUGGGCAAUCAGCAGCCAAUUCUGCCAAUCAAAUGGCGGAUGCAGUUCACAGACUAAAUGGCGAUGGGUCUGUCAUUAGUGCAGGCAUAAGAUAUAGUCGGAUUUGUUGCGAAAGCUUCAGAGUUGAACGCAGAUACCGUUGUAGUCUUAACAGUAAACGAUGCCGACUAGGGAUCGGACGAGGAUUUUUAAUGACUCGUUCGGCACCUGAAGAGAAAUCUUUAAGUCUAGGUUCGGGGGGGAGUAUGGUCGACUUGUGGCCAUAAAUAAGGCUCGUCAUGCCUUAGUUUUGAGAUCGGCGGCUCAAGGCAACACUUGCAAAUUGCGGCGAUUUCUUGAAGCUCAGGGUACCAAGCAUUAAUUGAAAGAUUGAUGUGGCCAGUAUUAGUUUGCUGGGUAGGGU
rnacentral:rRNA from 1 species